CCUACGUGUGGCAGCAGUGAGGAAUAUUGGUCAAUGGGCGCGAGCCUGAACCAGCCAAGUAGCGUGAAGGAUGACUGCCCUACGGGUUGUAAACUUCUUUUAUAAAGGAAUAAAGUGAGGCACGUUUGCCUUUUUGUAUGUACUUUAUGAAUAAGGAUCGGCUAACUCCGUGCCAGCAGCCGCGGUAAUACUGAGGAUCCGAGCGUUACCCGGAUUUAUUGGUUUUAAAGGGAGCGAAGAUGGGUUGUUAAGUCAGUUGUGAAAGUUUGCGGCUAAACCGUAAAAUUGCAAUUGAUACUGGCAGUCUUGAGUACAGUAGAGGUAGGCGGAAUUCGUGGUGUAGCGGUGAAAUGCUUAGAUAUCACGAAGAACUCCGAUUGCGAAGGCAGCUUACUAAACUGCCACUGACAUUGAUGCUCGAAAGUGUGGGGAUCAAACAGGAUUAGAUACCCCAGUAGUC
rnacentral:rRNA from 1 species